AUUGAACGCUGGCGGCAGGCUUAACACAUGCAAGUCGAGCGGAGUGAUGGUGCUUGCACUAUCACUUAGCGGCGGACGGGUGAGUAAUGCUUAGGAAUCUGCCUAUUAGUGGGGGACAACAUCUCGAAAGGGAUGCUAAUACCGCAUACGUCCUACGGGAGAAAGCAGGGGAUCACUGGUGACCUUGCGCUAAUAGAUGAGCCUAAGUCGGAUUAGCUAGUUGGUGGGGUAAAGGCCUACCAAGGCGACGAUAUGUAGCGGGUCUGAGAGGAUGAUCCGCCACACUGGGACUGAGACACGGCCCAGACUCCUACGGGAGGCAGCAGUGGGGAAUAUUGGACAAUGGGGGGAACCCUGAUCCAGCCAUGCCGCGUGUGUGAAGAAGGCCUUAUGGUUGUAAAGCACUUUAAGCGAGGAGGAGGCUCUUUUGGUUAAUACCCAAGAUGAGUGGACGUUACUCGCAGAAUAAGCACCGGCUAACUCUGUGCCAGCCGCCGCGGUAA
rnacentral:rRNA from 1 species